CCUACGGGGGGCAGCAGUGGGGGAUAUUGCACAAUGGGGGCAACCCUGAUGCAGCGACGCCGCGUGAGCGAUGGAGUACUUCGGUAUGUAAAGCUCUGUCAGCAGGGAAGAGAAUGACGGUACCUGACCAAGAAGCCCCGGCUAAAUACGUGCCAGCAGCCGCGGUAAUACGUAGGGGGCAAGCGUUAUCCGGAAUUAUUGGGCGUAAAGAGUACGUAGGCGGUUCUUUAAGCGUAGGG
rnacentral:rRNA from 1 species